UUAUGCCUACGGGGCGCAGCAGUGAGGAAUAUUGGUCAAUGGCCGCAGGGCUGAACCAGCCAAGCCGCGUGAGGGAGGAAGGUACAGAGUAUCGUAAACCUCUUUUGUCAGGGAACAAAGGCGGGGACGCGUCCCCGGAUGAGUGUACCUGAAGAAAAAGCAUCGGCUAACUCCGUGCCAGCAGCCGCGGUAAUACGGAGGAUGCGAGCGUUAUCCGGAUUUAUUGGGUUUAAAGGGUGCGCAGGCGGUCUGUUAAGUCAGCGGUCAAAGCCCGGGGCUCAACCCCGGCCCGCCGUU
rnacentral:rRNA from 1 species